AUUGAACGCUGGCGGCAGGCCUAACACAUGCAAGUCGAACGGUAACAGGAAGCAGCUUGCUGCUUUGCUGACGAGUGGCGGACGGGUGAGUAAUGUCUGGGAAACUGCCUGAUGGAGGGGGAUAACUACUGGAAACGGUAGCUAAUACCGCAUAACGUCGCAAGACCAAAGAGGGGGACCUUCGGGCCUCUUGCCAUCGAAUGUGCCCAGAUGGGAUUAGCUUGUUGGUGGGGUAACGGCUCACCAAGGCGACGAUCCCUAGCUGGUCUGAGAGGAUGACCAGCCACACUGGAACUGAGACACGGUCCAGACUCCUACGGGAGGCAGCAGUGGGGAAUAUUGCACAAUGGGCGCAAGCCUGAUGCAGCCAUGCCGCGUGUAUGAAGAAGGCCUUCGGGUUGUAAAGUACUUUCAGCGGGGAGGAAGGGAGUAAAGUUAAUACCUUUACUCAUUGACGUUACCCGCAGAAGAAGCACCGGCUAACUCCGUG
rnacentral:rRNA from 1 species